UACAGAGGGUGCGAGCGUUGUCCGGAAUCACUGGGCGUAAAGGGCGCGUAGGCGGCUUGAUAAGGUUGCGGUGAAGGCCCGGGGCUCAACCCCGGGUCGGCCGUGGCAACUGUCGAGCUGGAGCACUGUAGAGGCAGGUGGAAUUCCGGGUGUAGCGGUGGAAUGCGUAGAGAUCCGGAAGAACACCGGUGGCGAAGGCGGCCUGCUGGGCAGUGGCUGACGCUGAGGCGCGACAGCGUGGGGAGCAAACAGG
rnacentral:rRNA from 1 species